GAGAAAGAGACCAUCUCAGUUGCUUUUCAAGCCUUAAGAACCAAAGGUGGAGGCUUUAUACCCAAACAAGCCACUUACAAAAGAUGCGAGUAAUGUCUCAACCCUCCUGCUGUACCAUGGAACACUGGGACUUACAUCAUCAGUUUGUGAUGGUAGUAAACUGCUCGAGACUUAUCUAUUAGCUAUUCAUUCUUCAAAAUUUUUGAUGAUUUUAACAAAAGAAAUCUGGGCUUAUCUUUGAGUAUUUUUAUUGAAAUUUAGGUGUGUACAAGCUUGUGUUUCUUAGUUGCUAAGGCCUAUAGAGUAAACUAUUUCUCAAACCGUCUGCCUAUUUUUUAUACUGAGUUCAGAGGAACUCAUAUUUUAGCAGAAUGACAGGCUUUGAUAGAGCUUGGGUUUUUACACAAUGUGUUUCUUAGAGGAGGGUGUAUCUGGCUUCUGAGGAGUGAUAAUCCAUCAGUGCACAAGGAAAGCAUUCUUCAAGCAUAAUGAGUGCUGCCUCUGGAGGCCUUGACAGCAGUGGCUUCAUUUAAGAGUCUGUAAGGCAGCCCACUGAUGCUCAUUUGUGACCUUAUGUUUUCACUGUCAUCUGCAACCUCGCUUUGUUUUACUUUUAACAUUAUAACUUAAUUAUACUUGUGUGUACACAUGUGUGUAUGUGUAUACAUGCAUAUUUUCUGUAUCAAGAGCAUAGAGUUGAAAGGGAAGCUUGGGGGAGUUCUUUCUCUCCCUCUACUGUGUAAGUGCUGGUCCUAGAUUUGACAGCAAGCACCUUUACUUGCUCAGACAUACUGUUGGUACUACAAUCUCAUUUGCAGACUAGAUAGUGUUUGAAAAAAACAUAAUAUAUUUCUGCUAAUUAGUUAUGUUGUGUGAUCUAUACCUAUUUUGACCUUAAUAUCAUCUUAAUAAACAGAAUCAAACUAAGAAA
ensembl:sense_intronic Gm37573 predicted gene, 37573